UGUUCGGUGGCUGAGUUAAGAAGCAGUAGACUGUAGAUCUAUUAACGGAAUUAAGUUUCCCCAACAA
rnacentral:tRNA from 1 species